rnacentral:lncRNA from 1 species
GAGACCCAAGCGCCCUGGGCGAAGCCACCGCGGGGAGGACCUGCGCUCGCGGGGGCUGCUGCGCUCUGCGCUGGGGCCUCUCGGGCUGGGAAUGCGUGGCCCGGCUUUUGAGGAUUUCCUCGGUCCCCGGGCGGAAAUAGCUGGAAUGGAGGGGCCUCUCGAUUGGAGACUUACUGGUCAAAUAUUUACUUUUGUUGAUCACUGGAAACGCUACCUACCACGCAUUGACUAGGACCACAAAAACCACGACUUCCUGGAAAAGUCUUCACCGUAAAUAUUAAUCUCUUUGGCAUGAAGAGGAAAACACUGCAGCUAAUUUUUCAUGGGAUAACAAAAAUAUAAACUGCAAUUUCUUUUAUUUUUUCCCUUUCGAUGGUCUUUUUAAACGAGGAGUAAAGAUUUCAACGCCAGGUCCAUUUUCCAAAUUUUGUACCAGAACCUUGAGGAUGCUUGUCUCUCGCGCGCUUCUCCGCAGACCGAACCCUCUCCGGAACUCAGAGCUGUUCACCCAAGUCAGCGGAGGAGGCCUCCUGGGACUUGAGCCUGAGGGUGGCGAAGAACCCUAGGCAGAGAUCAUCAACUUGGUACCGAUGAGUGACGCGGAGCUUGAACAUUCCAGCGACUUGCUCCAGGGCCACUCCCAGUUAAGAGGCUGAGUGUUAACUGCAAGAGGCUGAGUGUUAACUACGCCGUUGGCUCCAGGAACCGAACCGGGUUUGGAUACAGACCCAGUCACACCAUCCAUGAAAAGCUGUUUCUAUAAUAUGAAAAAUUGUUAAAUGACGCUUUAGUAAAAGCCAUUUAAAGAUCUUUUCUAAUAAAUUUUUCAUCUUUCCAAACAAUGCC